rnacentral:misc_RNA from 1 species
CCGAGUUAGGGUUCGUCCAACGAGCCCGACCUCCCAACCCUUUGUCUAUAUUACCUUUGUCGUUGCUUCGGCGGACCGGCCGUGACCAACUGGUCGUGGCCGCCGGAGGAUUUUACACAAACUGAAAUGUAAUGAUAAACUGUUGUGUGCAUAUGCACUACUAAUA